GGGGCUGUAGCUCAGUGGCAGAGCACUUGCCUAGCAUGCAUUGAGGCACUGUGUUCAAAACUCAGCACCAUCU
rnacentral:tRNA from 1 species